CAGCCGCCACGGGAAUACGGAGGGUGCAAGCGUUAAUCGGAAUUACUGGGCGUAAAGCGCACGCAGGCGGUCUGUCAAGUCAGAUGUGAAAUCCCCGGGCUUAACCUGGGAACUGCAUUUGAAACUGGCAGGCUAGAGUCUUGUAGAGGGGGGUAGAAUUCCAGGUGUAGCGGUGAAAUGCGUAGAGAUCUGGAGGAAUACCGGUGGCGAAGGCGGCCCCCUGGACAAAGACUGACGCUCAGGUGCGAAAGCGUGGGGAGCAAACAGGAUUAGAUACCCGCGUAGUCCCUGUCUCUUAUAC
rnacentral:rRNA from 1 species